rnacentral:rRNA from 1 species
AUUGAACGCUGGCGGCAUGCCUUACACAUGCAAGUCGAACGGCAGCGGACCUUCGGGUGCCGGCGAGUGGCGAACGGGUGAGUAAUAUAUCGGAACGUACCUUUCAGUGGGGGAUAACGUAGCGAAAGUUACGCUAAUACCGCAUAUUCUGUGAAGCAGGAAAGCAGGGGGAUUCGCAAGACCUUGCGCUGAUUGAGCGGCCGAUAUCAGAUUAGCUAGUUGGUGAGGUAAAGGCUCACCAAGGCGACGAUCUGUAGCGGGUCUGAGAGGAUGAUCCGCCACACUGGAACUGAGACACGGUCCAGACUCCUACGGGAGGCAGCAGUGGGGAAUUUUGGACAAUGGGCGCAAGCCUGAUCCAGCCAUGCCGCGUGAGUGAAGAAGGCCUA